rnacentral:rRNA from 1 species
AGCAGCCGCGGUAAUUCCAGCUCCAAUAGCGUAUAUUAAAGUUGUUGCAGUUAAAAAGCUCGUAGUUGAAUUUCGGGAUCAAUAUAUCGGUCGUGCCUCCGGUAUGCACUGGUAUUAUUGAUUUCUACCUUCUGACGAAUCAUGAUGUCAUUAAUUUGGUGUCAUGGGGAAUCAGGACUGUUACUUUGAAAAAUUAGAGUGUUUAAAGCAGGCACAAGCUUGAAUACAUUAGCAUGGAAUAAUGAAAUAGGACGUUUGACCCUAUUUUGUUGGUUUCUAGGAUCGACGUAAUGAUUAAUAGGGAUAGUUGGGGGCAUUAGUAUUCAAUUGUCAGAGGUGAGAUUCCUGGAUUUAUUGAAGACUAACUACUGCGAAAGCAUUGUCCAAGGAUGUUUUCAUUAAUCUAAGAACGAAAGUUAGGGGAUCGAAGACGAUCAGAUACCGUCGUAGUCUUAACCAUAAACUAUGCCGACUAGGGAUCGGAUGAUGUUAAUUUUUAAUGUACU